rnacentral:rRNA from 1 species
GAUGAACGCUAGCGGCAGGCCUAACACAUGCAAGUCGAGGGGCAGCACAGAAAUUCAGCAAUGAGUUUUGGUGGCGACCGGCAGACGGGUGCGUAACGCGUAUGCAACCUACCUUUAACAGGGGGAUAACGGAGAGAAAUUUCCACUAAUACCCCAUAACAUCGAUCAAGGCAUCUUGAUUGGUUGAACACUCCGGUGGUUAAAGAUGGGCAUGCGUUGUAUUAGGUAGUUGGUGAGGUAAUGGCUCACCAAGCCUACGAUACAUAGGGGGACUGAGAGGUUAGCCCCCCACGCUGGUACUGAGACACGGACCAGACUCCUACGGGAGGCAGCAGUGAGGAAUAUUGGUCAAUGGGGGCAACCCUGAACCAGCCAUGCCGCGUGCAGGAAGACGGCUCUAUGAGUUGUAAACUGCUUUUAAACAGGGAUAAAGCACAGUAUGUAUACUGUAUUGAAGGUACUGUAAGAAUAAGGAUCGGCUAACUCCGUGCCAGCCGCCGCCGUAA